GGGGUAGUAGGUUGGUCAUGCCUCUGGUAUGUACUGGUCUCACUGAUUCCUCCUUCCUGAUGAACCUUAAUGCCAUUUAUUUGGUGUUUUGGGGAAUUUGGACUGUUACUUUGAAAAAAUUAGAGUGUUUAAAGCAAGCUAACGCUUGAAUACAUUAGCAUGGAAUAAUGAAAUAGGCCUUUCGAGCCUAUUUUGUUGGUUUCUAGUAUUGACGUA
rnacentral:rRNA from 1 species